rnacentral:rRNA from 1 species
GGAGUUAGCCGGUGCUUCUUCUGUGAGUGAUGUCCUUCCUGCCGGCUAUUAACCCGCAGGCCUUCUUCCUCACUGAAAGUGCUUUACAACCCGAAGGCCUUCUUCACACACGCGGCAUGGCUGGAUCAGGGUUGCCCCCAUUGUCCAAUAUUCCCCACUGCUGCCUCCCGUAGGAGUCUGGGCCGUGUCUCAGUCCCAGUGUGGCUGAUCAUCCUCUCAGACCAGCUACGGAUCGUCGCCUUGGUGAGCCGUUACCUCACCAACCAGCUAAUCCGACAUAGGCUCAUCCGAUAGCGCGAGGCCCGAAGGUCCCCCGNUUUCCCCCGUAGGGCGUAUGCGGUAUUAGCCUGGGUUUCCCCAGGUUAUCCCCCACUACCGGGCAGAUUCCUAUGCAUUACUCACCCGUCCGCCGCUCGCCACCAGGGAGCAAGCUCCCCGUGCUGCCGCUCGACUUGCAUGUGUUAGGCCUGCCGCCAGCGUUCAAUCUGAGCCAGANGACCAAGA